rnacentral:rRNA from 1 species
AAGUUUCAGCAACGGAUCUCUUGGCUCUCGCAUCGAUGAAGAACGCAGCGAAAUGCGAUAAGUAAUGUGAAUUGCAGAAUUCAGUGAAUCAUCGAAUCUUUGAACGCACCUUGCGCUCCUUGGUAUUCCUUGGAGCAUGCCUGUUUGAGUAUCAU